rnacentral:rRNA from 1 species
UACGGAGGGAGCUAGCGUUGUUCGGAAUUACUGGGCGUAAAGCGCACGUAGGCGGCUUGGUAUGUCGGGUGUGAAAUCCCCGGGCUCAACCCGGGAACUGCGUCCGAUACUGGCAGGCUUGAAUCCGGGAGAGGGAUGUGGAAUUCCAGGUGUAGCGGUGAAAUGCGUAGAUAUCUGGAGGAACACCGGUGGCGAAGGCGGCAUCCUGGACCGGUAUUGACGCUGAGGCGCGAAAGCCAGGGGAGCAAAGCGGG